CCUCGGUUCGCAAGCGCCGCCCACAUCACUUCCCUGAACUCCACCGCCGCCACUUGGCAGCACAACUUCUAUGUGCGAGCGCCUCCCCCUCCCCUGUUCCCUUCUCCGACCGCCACCUCAGUUCGCCACAUCUCGUGCUACCUCUUCAACUUCAACCCCGACCUGUCAGCUGCCUCUCCUUCCGUCGACCUUGAGAGCAGCGACGGCCUCCUCUUCAUUUCUAGGCCACUAGCUGAGUUUUAGGUGCUACCAAUCAGAGUAUUGUGAAGUUUGUUUAAGUGUACUUCUACAAAUCAGAUUUAGUUAUGAACUUUGUUUAGUGUACUACUUAAUUUGCUAUUUCAUUUAUCUGAACUGAGAGUAUUCUGAAGUUAGUUUAAUUACGAACUGUGUGCAAGUGUGUAAUGCUUAGUUUGCUAUUUAACUGAUCUGAACAUAGAUUAGUGUGUAAUAGUUCUGUACAUUUGAAGGAUAUUGGAUAUGCUAAAUAUUAAUUAUUUUUUCCAUUCUUGAUGUGCUGCAUGUGGUAGGAUCUAACUCGAAUCUGCCGUGCUGUCCCAAGCUAUUGUGGAACCUGCAGCCCAUUGAUACAAUUUCUGCAUCUUGCCUUCCUUGACAAAUAAUUUUGAUGCUGCUAUUUUGCAUCUUCAGAAAUUUUCGUGCAGAAAGGAAGGAAUUAUACUCCUUGAUUGCAUUCAAGCGCAAGGCAGAACGGUAAGGUGCCUCUCACACUUUGGCAGUAGGUGCUUGUCUUGAUAUGCAACUCCCAAAAGACCAACUGUGAUGGCACUGAUGGUACACAGUUGGGAGUCAUUCUCAAGCGAGAAUACCUGGGUCUGGUUGAGGCCACAUUAGAUUGGGAAGAUCAUUAUCUUAUACAUGAAAGUGUUACAAGUGUUGACUGGGUGAAACAAGAAUUUUAAGCACGGGAACACAGAUUCAUCACAUGAUAGCUUGGAGGAUGCUACUAUGGAUGACCUUGUUGGCCAUGGCAACAAUGGAGGUAGAAAUUGCAAGAACAUUGGUGGUGGUGAAAGGAACAACUUUUGCUACAAUCGUGAUGGUGAUAAUAACUGUGCUUCUAGAGGAGUAUCACAGAAGUGUAUUUGCACUUCAAACAAUUAACACUCUUAUGGUAUUUUAGAUCUUUUUUGGUAGAUAAUGCUCCUGAUCGUGAACCUGUAUGAAUUAGAAGUUCAUGUAUUUUGUUGUUACAUUGCAUUACCAUGUGCAAUGUGUGGAUACAAACUAGAGUGGGGGUGCCAUGUAUCUGUGCCAUUGUUAUUACUUGCUUUUGGGCAAGUCUGUACAUGUCAAGCAACAACUUUUACUGUAUUGUUAUACUUAUAGACGCUAUGUACUGGAUAUGAAGUGGGUCAUUGGCUUAAA